UCCACUUGUCCACAUCUACUGUGUCGGAGUAUGCUUGCGAGCUUAAUAUGCAUGCGAGUCACUGACUCGCUCCUAUAUUAAACUGAUUUUUGUUCAGAAAAAGUGGUAAAGAAGCUUGCUUCAACCACUUUGAAGAUCUUCUCAGUAUUGCAUUACUUCUGAGUUAGGUCUAACCCCA
rnacentral:snRNA from 1 species